rnacentral:rRNA from 1 species
CACGUAGGGUGCAAGCGUUGUCCGGAAUCAUUGGGCGUAAAGAGCUCGUAGGCGGCUUAGUAAGUCGGGUGUGAAACCUCCAGGCUCAACCUGGAGACGCCACCCGAUACUGCUAUAGCUAGAGUCCAGUAGGGGAGUGCGGAAUUCCCGGUGUAGCGGUGAAAUGCGCAGAUAUCGGGAGGAACACCAGCGGCGAAGGCGGCACUCUGGGCUGGUACUGACGCUCAGGAGCGAAAGCCAGGGUAGCAAACGGG